rnacentral:rRNA from 1 species
CACGUAGGCACCAAGCGUUGUCCGGAUUUAUUGGGCGUAAAGAGCUCGUAGGCGGUUGAGUAAGUCGGGUGUGAAAACUCUGGGCUUAACCCAGAGCCGCCACCCGAUACUGCUCUGACUUGAGUUCGGUAGGGGAGCAGGGAAUUCCUGGUGUAGCGGUGGAAAUGACGCAGAUAUCAGGAGGAACACCGGUGGCGAAGGCGGUUCUCUGGGCAUUACCUGACGCUGAGGAGCGAAAGUGUGGGGAGCGAACAGG